GAUGAUCCGGUGGAGGCGGCCGGGGUAAGUCGGAGGUUGCAAGGGGUAUCCUGAUUUAGUGGGUGUAAAGGUGCCGUAGGCGGACUUAUAAGUCAGUGGUGAAAGCCUGUCGCUUAACGAUAGAACUGCCAUUGAUACUGUAAGUCUUGAGUAUAAUUGAGGUAGCUGGAAUAAGUAGUGUAGCGGUGAAAUGCAUAGAUAUUACUUAGAACACCAAUUGCGAAGGCAGGUUACCAAGUUAUAACUGACGCUGAGGGACGAAAGCGUGGGGAGCGAACAGGAUUAGAUACCCCUGUAGUC
rnacentral:rRNA from 1 species